rnacentral:rRNA from 1 species
UAGAGUUUGAUCAUGGCUCAGGAUGACCGUUAGCGGGAGGCCUAACACAUGCAAGCCGAGCGGUAGAGAUUCUUCGGAAUCUUGAGAGCGGCGUACGGGUGCGGAACACGUGUGCAACCUACCUUUAUCUGGAGGAUAGCCUUUCGAAAGGAAGAUUAAUACUCCAUAAUAUAUUGAUUGGCAUCAAUUGAUAUUGAAAGCUCCGGCGGAUAGAGAUGGGCACGCGCAAGAUUAGUUAGUUGGUGAGGUAACGGCUCACCAAGACGAUGAUCUUUAGGGGGCCUGAGAGGGUGAUCCCCCACACUGGUACUGAGACACGGACCAGACUCCUACGGGAGGCAGCAGUGAGGAAUAUUGGUCAAUGGGUGCAAGCCUGAACCAGCCAUCCCGCGUGAAGGACGACUGCCCUAUGGGUUGUAAACUUCUUUUGUAUAGGGAUAAACCUACCCUCGUGAGGGUAGCUGAAGGUACUAUACGAAUAAGCACCGGCUAACUCCGUGCCAGCAGCCGCGGUAAUA